UACGUAGGUGGCAAGCGUUGUCCGGAUUUACUGGGCGUAAAGGGCGUGCAGGCGGUUUGUUAAGUGCAGGGUGAAAGCUCCCGGCUCAACUGGGAGAGGUCCUUGCAUACUGGCAGACUUGAGGGAGGCAGAGGAAAGUGGAAUUCCCGGUGUAGUGGUGAUAUGCGUAGAUAUCGGGAGGAAUACCUAUGGCGAAAGCAGGCUACUGGACCGUCACUGACUCUGAUCUGCGAAAGCUAGGGGAGCAAACAGG
rnacentral:rRNA from 1 species